AAACUAUGUUGUGGGCAUGAAUUGACAAGAUCCUUGAAUCGGUCCCAACAUUGGAAGAAUAUUUCAUCUUCCUUUUGGGCAAAGUUCAUGAUCGAAUUUCUGAUGGU